rnacentral:rRNA from 1 species
CCUACGGGCGGCAGCAGUGGGGAAUAUUGGACAAUGGGGGGAACCCUGAUCCAGCCAUGCCGCGUGUGUGAAGAAGGCCCUCGGGUUGUAAAGCACUUUCAGUGAGGAAGAACGCCUGGUGGUUAAUACCCAUCAGGAAAGACAUCACUCACAGAAGAAGCACCGGCUAACUCCGUGCCAGCAGCCGCGGUAAUACGGAGGGUGCGAGCGUUAAUCGGAAUUACUGGGCGUAAAGCGCGCGUAGGUGGCUUGAUAAGCCGGUUGUGAAAGCCCCGGGCUCAACCUGGAAACGGCAUCCGGAACUGUCAAGCUAGAGUGCAGGAGAGGAAGGUAGAAUUCCCGGUGUAGCGGUGAAAUGCGUAGAGAUCGGGAGGAAUACCAGUGGCGAAGGCGGCCUUCUGGACUGACACUGACACUGAGGUGCGAAAGCGUGGGUAGCAAACAGGAUUAGAUACCCCUGUAGUC